UACGUAGGGGGCUAGCGUUGUCCGGAAUCAUUGGGCGUAAAGAGCGCGUAGGCGGCCAGAUAAGUCCGGUGUGAAAGUCACAGGCUCAACCUGUGAAUGCCGCUGGAAACUGUCUGGCUAGAGUCCGGUAGGGGCGAGUGGAAUUCCUGGUGUAGCGGUGAAAUGCGCAGAUAUCAGGAGGAACACCGGUGGCGAAGGCGGAUCUCUGGGCCUGUUCUGACGCUGAGGCGCGAAAGCUAGGGGAGCGAACAGG
rnacentral:rRNA from 1 species